UCAGACGGCCGGAUGGCCGCUCUCCGCCGCGGCGACGCGGACGGGGGGAGGAAAGUCCGGGCUCCAGGGAAGCACGGUGCCGGGUAACGCCCGGCGGGGGCGACCCCAGGGACAGUGCCACAGAAAGCAAACCGCCAGUGCCCGCCGGAGACGGCGGCCGCGGGCAAGGGUGAAAGGGUGCGGCAAGAGCGCACCGCGCCCCCGGCGACGGGGGCGGCAGGGCAAACCCCACCGGGAGCAAGGCCGUAUAGGGGCGGCAUGCCAGGCCGGUGACGGUCCGGCGAGCGGUGCUUUCCCCGCCGCCGCCCGGGUAGGCCGCGCGAGGCGUCCGGCAACGGACGUCCCAGAUGAAUGGCCAUCCACGGCCGCCCCGGAAGGGGCGGCCGGGACAGAACCCGGCUUACAGGCCGUCUGGCAUC
rnacentral:RNase_P_RNA from 1 species